rnacentral:misc_RNA from 1 species
AACAAGGCGUACCUGCGGACCUGCGGAAGGAUCAUUAUUGAAUAAAUCUGACAUGGUUGUAGCUGGCUCUUAGGAGCAUGUGCACACCAGUCACCUUUAUCUUUCCACCUGUGAACCCUUUGUAGUCCCAGGAUAACCUCUCGCGCACUCUGGUGUUGCGGAUGCGAAGGUUGUUGUGCCUCUGGCCAGCUUCCAUCGAAUUUCCUGGGUCUAUGUUUCUUACACACCCCUGUAUGUUAA